ensembl:lncRNA
CUCCUGGAAUCUUUCUCAGGAGAAUGGGGCAGCUUUAUCCCCAAGAGUCCCUGCAAACCUCUUUGCAAAACUGGGGCAUGUGUCUCUCCCUGGCAGAGAAUGAGAUUCUAUAGAUGAGUCUGGACCUGAGCCUGUUGUUCCUCCUAGAUUCAGGAGGGCUCAGGGUCCAGGAAGCACGUGAACUGUAUGGGGAGAGGCGGACCCUGAGCAGUGUCGUUACAGGAAACAGGGAGUGAAUGCCGAGUGGUUCCACAAUGUCCGGUGCAGUAAUCUGAUAGCAACAGAAACAUGAAGAAUAAAGAAGUGACUCAAGCAGCUCGCAACAAUGGAGGUUUGCUCCCAGUCUCUGCAACAGACACAUUUCCAAUCACCAGGCUUCUGUGGAUUUAUGCCCUCUUCCUGACUUAAACAGCAGCUCUCAGAAAGCAAUGGCUUUCUGCAUUGAGAUCUGGAGGGUUUGUUAGAAAUUCUGCAAGCAUAUAUCUGAUGUAUCACCAAAUUAGAGAGAAUUGUGAGCAAAGAAGAAAAAUUCUUAAAUUCACAAAUUAUGCAACUGAUUACCCCAACAACAAUUAUUUUUAAUACAUGCAUUUUGCCUUGAUUUUUGCAUUUGGGGGAAGUAAUAUAUGGUAUGAAAACAAGACUAGCAAGCAACAUUUCAUUUGUUCCUUCUUAUGAAGCAGAAUGAGGGAAUGCAUCCAAAACCACUUUGUGAGUCCUAAUGCACAUGCAGAUCCAGAAACCUUUCCCAUUGUGGUCGGAGAGAGCUGCCUGACAGAGACACAGAACAGGAGAAGGGUCAGAAGGCACCGCUGUGGUUUUUGAAGAUGGAGAGUCAUGAGGCAAGGAAGGCAGAGGCGUCUAGAUGCUGGGAAU